rnacentral:misc_RNA from 1 species
AACUGAUACUACCUGCGGGAACCUGCGGAGGGAUCAUUACCGAGUUUACAAAACUCCCCACCCUUGUUUACUGUCUGUUGCUUCGGCGAGACGAUUGGAAUCAACCACUGGCUUAUUGCUGGUGUGUGCUCGCCGGAGGUUUUCACGCGAAUAUUUGCUGUCAGAGUUUUGACGAAUUUUAAAAACUUUCAACAAUGGAUCUCU